CGCGUAUCCCUCCGCCACUGCUAUUUCUGCUACUUCCGCGAUUUCUGUGACUUCUGCGACUUACCACCGUAUGAAAAAGUUACAUCUGCUCACACAGAAAAUAUCUCAACAAAUCUGUCAUUGGUACCCGAACUACAUUUCAGUCACUCAGUAAAUUGAUAAUUCAAAAUAUCUUUGUCAACAGAUCUGGAGAAAUUGCCACUGCGUCUUUAAACCGUUUUCGUCAGACGAGAGACACAGUUCUGACUCUUGAUUACUGGUUGCUGUACGUAUCUAUCCACAUUAAGGCUAUUGAGAGAGACUCGUGAAGAUUCAAGACAGCUCUUAGAGGAUUUGCAGUUUAAAAGUGACAUAAUUGUGAAAUAAAUGUGCAGAGAUGAGUGAUUAAACUGUGUUUUAUUGAAGUUGUUAUGCGAUUUUAAAGGAAUAAUAAAUAUUAAAUACAGUGAUUG